CAGCCAGGCCAAACUGUGGCAGGAACGUACUCAGAUGCAUUAGGAGCUAUAUUGCAUUGCCAAGCAUAAUGAUUCGGAUGGAAAUUGCUGCUGCUCAUCGGGAACGUACUUGGAGGUAUCGUCUGGGGUUGAGAAUAUGGAGGGUACAUAAAGCGCAAUGGGUGCAUCAUGUUUGGGGUGUGCGGGGGUGAAGGGUACAGGUGAUGAGGGGAGGAGCACAUUGGAUUGGGUAACAUAGUUGGUGGUCCUUGAUGAAGAGAGAUGUUCAUUGACCAAGGGCCAACGGGUGGUAGUGUUCCAGGAGGAGAAGGAAGAUUAAUGUUCAUAGGUAACGGUGCUGCACGGGCAAUGGCUGGGGAGGGA
rnacentral:lncRNA from 1 species